UACGUAGGCAGCAAGCGUUGUUCGGAGUUACUGGGCGUAAAGGGUGCGUAGGUGGCUCUAUAAGUAUGGUGUGAAAUCUCCCGGCUUAACUGGGAGGGUGCGCCGUAGACUGUGGGGCUAGAGUGUGGGAGAGGAAAGUGGAAUUCCUGGUGUAGCGGUGAAAUGCGUAGAUAUCAGGAGGAACACCGGUGGUGUAAACGGCUUUCUGGACCAUAACUGGCACUGAGGCACGAAAGCGUGGGUAGCAAACAGG
rnacentral:rRNA from 1 species